rnacentral:rRNA from 1 species
GACCAAGGAGUCUAACAUGUGCGCGAGUCAUUGGGUCUUUCGAAACCUAAAGGCGGAAUCAAAGUGAAAGGUGAUCUCUUUCGCUUACCCGAGGGAGGAUGGGCACGUCUUUGCCUUCGCGGCGGUGCCCCGCACUCCCGGGGCGUUUCUCACUCAUCGCGAGUCGAGGCGCACCCAGAGCGUACACGUUAGGACCCGAAAGAUGGUGAACUAUGCCCGGCCAGGACGAAGCCAGGGGAAACCCUGGUGGAGGUCCGUAGCGAUUCUGACGUGCAAAUCGAUCGUCGGAGCUGGGUAUAGGGGCGAAAGACUAAUCGAACCAUCUAGUAGCUGGUUCCUUCCGAAGUUUCCCUCAGGAUAGCUGGUGCCCGGGUGAGACGAGUCUCAUCCUGUAAAGCGAAUGAUUAGAGGCAUUGGGGGUCGAAACGACCUCAACCUAUUCUCAAACUUUAAAUAGAUGAGAACUCCGGCUUGCUUGAACAGUGAAGCCGGAGACUCGGAUCAGGGUGCCCAGUGGGCCAAUUUUGGU